rnacentral:rRNA from 1 species
AACGACUCUCGGCAACGGAUAUCUCGGCUCUCGCAUCGAUGAAGAACGUAGCGAAAUGCGAUACUUGGUGUGAAUUGCAGAAUCCCGUGAACCAUCGAGUCUUUGAACGCAAGUUGCGCCCGAAGCCGUUAGGUUGAGGGCACGUCUGCCUGGGCGUCACGCA